AUGCGGGUACGGUAUCCGCGGGUACCGCCCGCCGCCGGCUUCGACUUCGCCUCUGCCCCGCCCUCUGAUGACGACACCAACGCCGACUUCCCUGCGGGCAUGGACGACGACCUCGCUCCUCCUCCACCCCCUGCCUCCCAAGAUGAUGGUGGUCGCGUUGCGGAGCUCCCCGGAGGGCUCACCAUGUGGGCUUUCCCGGCACCGGCAGUCAAGGCCAAGCCGCUCCUGGAGAAGUCGACCAACGUCCUCAUCUACAUGCGGCCGGGCUUCUUCGACGUCGUCGUCGUCAGCUCCUCCGGUGAUCGCGGCUUCUAUCGCCUGCCCAUGUAG
rnacentral:rRNA from 1 species